GACGGGGGGGGCAAGUGUUCUUCGGAAUGACUGGGCGUAAAGGGCAUGUAGGCGGUGAAUCGGGUUGAAAGUGAAAGUCGCCAAAAAGUGGCGGAAUGCUCUCGAAACCAAUUCACUUGAGUGAGACAGAGGAGAGUGGAAUUUCGUGUGUAGGGGUGAAAUCCGUAAAUAUACGAAGGAACGCCAAAAGCGAAGGCAGCUCUCUGGGUCCCUACCGACGCUGGGGUGCGAAAGCAUGGGGAGCGAACAGG
rnacentral:rRNA from 1 species